UACGUAGGGACCGAGCGUUGUCCGGAAUCAUUGGGCGUAAAGAGCGUGUAGGCGGCUUGUUAAGUCUUGCGUGAAAUCUCGGGGCUCAACCCCGAGCGGUCGUGAGAAACUGGCAGGCUAGAGUGCGGGAGAGGAGAGUGGAAUUCCUGGUGUAGCGGUGAAAUGCGCAGAUAUCAGGAGGAACACCGGUGGCGAAGGCGGGUCUCUGGGCCGAUACUGACGCUGAGGAGCGAAAGCGUGGGGAGCGAACAGG
rnacentral:rRNA from 1 species